UGGGGAAUCUUGCGCAAUGGGCGAAAGCCUGACGCAGCGACGCCGCGUGGGGGAGGAAGGUUUUCGGAUCGUAAACCCCUGUUGCCCGGGACGAAUCCCUGGUUUAGACCAGGUUGACGGUACCGGGUGAGGAAGCACCGGCUAACUCCGUGCCAGCAGCCGCGGUAAUACGGAGGGUGCGAGCGUUGUCCGGAAUCACUGGGCGUAAAGGGCGCGUAGGUGGCUUGGUAAGCGUGUGGUGAAAGCUCGGGGCUCAACCCCGAGUCGGCCAUGCGAACUGCCGAGCUUGAGCACUGUAGAGGCAGACGGAAUUCCGGGUGUAGCGGUGGAGUGCGUAGAGAUCCGGAAGAACACCGGUGGCGAAGGCGGUCUGCUGGGCAGUUGCUGACACUGAGGCGCGACAGCGUGGGGAGCAAA
rnacentral:rRNA from 1 species